rnacentral:lncRNA from 1 species
AGAUAAAUUUAGCUGGUGGUGCAGAGAUCUGUGAGCUUGCUUUUACAGGACUUUAAUGAUAUAUAAAAGCAGCAUGAAGGGCUCCUGACUGUGGAUUAAUUUGGAGAUGACUUUCUCUGUUGAAGAGUGGCAAGACUCUUGCAAGUUCUUAAAAAUGCACUUGUUUGGUAUGAGAAUGAAAAGCAGUGGCUGAAGAACCAGUCUUCAAUGGGCAAGGCUUCUCUGAUGCCUUGUUUGAGGUACAGUGCGAACCCAUUAGCACUGAACUCAGGACCAGCAACGCUGUAACUCAGGCCUGAAGGAAGCAUUUCUAGCACAUGAAUUUCCUCCGUAAGGCACCUCACAGCCUCUUGUGCCUGGGAACUCUAGCCAGCACUGCAACACGAUGCCUGGGGCCAUUAUAAAUGUGAAAUUACCAAAGAAACCCCACAAAAAUGUGAAAAUCAUGGCACUAAAUAGACCACAAAAAGAAUGCUUAUUUGCAGUAUGAGAACUGGAACCAGAAGACAUCAAUAUCUGGCUUUGAGUGGCACAAAGAAAUAAAGGAAUGUGGAUUCAGACCUCACUGGGAUGCUUGGCAAUUCUAAUUCUACGCCAGACUGCAAAUGGACACAAAACUGUUGCGACUUUUGUUGAAGAGGAGAAGGAUGGGCUGUUUCCCAUAUAAGGUUCAUGACCCCCAGGGAGGAUGAAACUGCCUGCCAGGUUUGUCUUCUCUCCUGUUCACUGGUUACUCAGCCAGGCGGAUUCACGGGCUUCUCAAAGGAACUUGUUUAUCAGAAGCUUGUCUAAGACACUACGUCUUCCAGAAAAUCUCACCUGAGUCACCAACAGAUUCCUCUAAGAAUCUGUAAGCCGCUCCCGACCAGCAGGAAACCCCAACAGAGGCAAAGAAUAGCAAAGUGAAUAUUUUGUCAAGAAAAAAUGAGAGACUGGGCGCGGUGGCUCAUGCCUAUAAUCCCAGCACUUUGGGAGGCCUAAGUGGGCUGAUCAUUUGAGGUCAGGAGUUUGAGACAACCUGGUCAACAGGGUGAAACCCUGUCUCUACUAAAAAUACAAAAACAAUUAGCUGGGCGUAGUGGUGGGUGCCUGUAGUCCCAGCUACUGGGGGAGGCUGUGGCAGGAGAAUCGCUGAAACCCGGAAGACGGAAGUUGCAGUGAGCUGAGACCGCACCACUGCACUCCAGCCUGGGUGACGGAGUGAGACUGUCUCAGAAAAAAAUAAACACACAAAAAAGCGAGAAAGCGCCCCAUUUAGAUCACUCAGACAAAAGAUUUUAUUUGUGCCAAAAUGUUCCACAAGGCUUCCAGUUUUCACCACAUAACUUGACAGUCAUGCAAGACUUAAGUAUAUUUUCAGCUAUCCUUUCUCUUUCAUUUAUUUCUGUUUAAUAAGCUCUCAGUCCGUUGAUUCUAGUUAGUACAUUAUGUAUCUUUUUAAUCACUUACCUUCAGUGAGCAUCUUUCCAUGUUGGUAAACACCAGUGCUACUACUAUUACUAUAUGACACUUACUGAGUACUUAACUCUACGUCAAAUCCUCUGCCAAGCAUUUUCAAGCAUUGUCUCAUUGCCUUCUUGCCACAACCCUAUGAAGAUGCCGUGAUUGUCCUCAUCCAAUGGAGGAGGAAGCUGAGGCUGAGAGCAAUGAACACAGCUGUGAGUGAACAGGUAGGAUUUAAAGCCAGGCAGUAUGAUUCUGGAGCCUACGCUUUUAAUCACUGUUAUUUUACUCUCCUCCACUCCCCAAAUAUACUGCAUUCUUUUUCUGUGA